rnacentral:rRNA from 1 species
GAUGAACGCUGGCGGCAGGCUUAACACAUGCAAGUCGAGGGGUAGAACACUUCGGUGUUUGAGACCGGCGCACGGGUGCGUAACGCGUAUGCAAUCUACCUUAUACAGGGGGAUAGCCCAGAGAAAUUUGGAUUAGUACCCCAUAGUAUCUUCAAAUGGCAUCAUCUGAUUAUUAAAGUUCCAACGGUAUAAGAUGAGCAUGCGUCCUAUUAGCUAGAUGGUAAGGUAACGGCUUACCAUGGCAACGAUGGGUAGGGGUCCUGAGAGGGAGAUCCCCCACACUGGUACUGGGACACGGACCAGACUCCUACGGGAGGCAGCAGUGAGGAAUAUUGGUCAAUGGACGCAAGUCUGAACCAGCCAUGCCGCGUGCAGGAUGAAGCAUCUAUGGUGUGUAAACUGCUUUUGUACGGGAAGAAACACUCCCCCGUGAGGGAGCUUGACGGUACCGUAAGAAUAAGGAUCGGCUAACUCCGUGCCAGCAGCCGCCGUAAUAC